UUAUCCUCCAAAAGGAUACUCUCCAGUGCCGGCGACUUCACCUUCCACGUCACCAUCAUCUCAUGCGCCUUCGCCUUAUCCUCCAAAAGGGUACUCUCCGGUGCCGGCAACUUCACCUUCUACGUCACCAUCAUCAUCCCAAUCACCUGCGGCUAAUGCUCCAACUGGGCUGUCACCGGCUCCGGGAACUUCCCCCUCCACGUCACCGUCAUCGCAACCACCUGCGGCUAAUGCUCCAACUGGGCUGUCACCGGCUCCGGGAACUUCCCCCUCCACGUCACCGUCAUCGCAGCCACCUGCGGCUAAUGCUCCAACAGGAGUAUCUCCCCCGCCGGGAACCUCCCCUUCCACGUCACCGCCGGCGGUUCCAUCGUCACCUGGUAAUGCGCCAUCAUUGGCGCCGUCGAACUCAAGUAAUCCGGCUGGUGGGACGCCACCGCCGUCG
rnacentral:lncRNA from 1 species